rnacentral:rRNA from 1 species
UUGGAGGGCAAGUCUGGUGCCAGCAGCCGCGGUAAUUCCAGCUCCAAUAGCGUAUAUUAAAGUUGUUGCAGUUAAAAAGCUCGUAGUUGAAUUUCGGGAUCAAGGGAUCGGUCACGCCUUGGUAUGUACUGGUUUCAUUGGUUCUCACCUUCUAAAGAACCAUGACGUCAUUCAUUUGAUGUUAUGGGGAAUUAGGACUGUUACCUUGAAAAAAUUAGAGUGUUUAAAGCAGGCUUUACGCUUGAAUACAUUAGCAUGGAAUAAUGAAAUAGGACACCCGAUUCUAUUUUGUUGGUUUCUAGGAUCGAUGUAAUGAUUAAUAGGGAUAGUUGGGGGCAUUAGUAUUCAAUUGUCAGAGGUGAAAUUCUUGGAUUUAUUGAAGACUAACUACUGCGAAAGCAUUUGCCAAGGAUGUUUUCAUUAAUCAAGAACGAAAGUUAGGGGAUCGAAGACGAUCAGAUACCGUCGUAGUCUUAACCAUAAACUAUGCCGACUAGGGAUCGGAUGAUGUUAAUUUUUUAAUGACUCAUUCGGCGCCUUACGGGAAAC